rnacentral:rRNA from 1 species
UACGAAGGGGGCUAGCGUUGCUCGGAAUUACUGGGCGUAAAGGGCGCGUAGGCGGACAGUUUAGUCAGAGGUGAAAGCCCAGGGCUCAACCUUGGAAUUGCCUUUGAUACUGGCUGUCUUGAGUUCGGGAGAGGUGAGUGGAAUGCCGAGUGUAGAGGUGAAAUUCGUAGAUAUUCGGCGGAACACCAGUGGCGAAGGUGACUCACUGGCCCGAUACUGACGCUGAGGCGCGAAAGCGUGGGGAGCAAACCGG